rnacentral:rRNA from 1 species
CAGUAGCCGCGGUAAAACGAGGGGGGCAAGCGUUGUUCGGAUUUAUUGGGCGUAAAGGGUGCGUAGGCGGUUUGGCAAGUCUUGUGUGAAAUCCCCGGGCUCAACCUGGGAAUGGCGCUUGUGACUGCAAAGCUAGAGUGCGGCAGAGGGGGAUGGAAUUCCGCGUGUAGCAGUGAAAUGCGUAGAUAUGCGGAGGAACACCGAUGGCGAAGGCAAUCCCCUGGGCCUGCACUGACGCUCAUGCACGAAAGCGUGGGGAGCAAACAGGAUUAGAUACCCGCGUAGUCCCUGUCUCUUAUAC